rnacentral:rRNA from 1 species
GACGUAGGGCGCGAGCGUUGUCCGGAUUUAUUGGGCGUAAAGAGCUCGUAGGCGGCUUGUCGCGUCGACCGUGAAAACUUGGGGCUCAACCCCAAGCCUGCGGUCGAUACGGGCAGGCUCGAGUUCGGUAGGGGAGACGUGGAAUUCCUGGUGUAGCGGUAGAAAUGCGCAGAUAUCAGGAGGAACACCGAUGGCGAAGGCAGGUCUCUGGGGCCGAUACUGACGCUGAGGAGCGAAAGCGUGGGGAGCGAACAGG